rnacentral:rRNA from 1 species
CCAGAGCUGGGCUACCUGCAGUCGACGGACCCUUUCGGGGGUUAGUGGCGGACGGGUGAGUAACACGUGAGAAUCUGCCCAUAGGACGGGGACAACAUCGGGAAACUGGUGCUAAUACCGGAUGAGCCGGAAGGUAAAACAUUUAUGGCCUAUGGAGGAGCUCGCGACUGAUUAGCUAGUUGGUGAGGUAAGAGCUUACCAAGGCGACGAUCAGUAGCUGGUCUGAGAGGAUGAUCAGCCACACUGGGACUGAGACACGGCCCAGACUCCUACGGGAGGCAGCAGUGGGGAAUUUUCCGCAAUGGGGGCAACCCUGACGGAGCAACGCCGCGUGAGGGAAGAAUGGUUGUGGCCAGUAAACCUCUUUUAAUAGGGAAGAAUUUUGACGGUACCUAUUGAAUAAGCAUCGGCUAACUCCGUGCCAGCAGCCGCGGUAAUACGGAGGAUGCAAGCGUUAUCCGGAAUUAUUGGGCGUAAAGCGUCCGCAGGUGGUUAGUCAAGUCAGCUGUAAAAGACUCAGGCUCAACUUGGGAUGUGCAGUUGAAACUGAUUGACUAGAGUACGGUAGGGGUAGAGGGAAUUCCUAGUGUAGCGGUGAAAUGCGUAGAUAUUAGGAAGAACACCAGUGGCGAAGGCGCUCUACUGGGCCUGUACUGACACUGAGGGACGAAAGCUAGGGGAGCGAAAGGGAUUAGAUACCCCUGUAGUCCUAGCUGUAAACGAUGGAUACUAGGUGUUGGACGUAUCGACCCGUUCAGUAUCGUAGCUAACGCGUUAAGUAUCCCGCCUGGGGAGUACGCACGCAAGUGUGAAACUCAAAGGAAUUGACGGGGGCCCGCACAAGCGGUG